AGAUUGAACGCUGGCGGCAGGCCUAACACAUGCAAGUCGAGCGGUAGAGAGGUGCUUGCACCUCUUGAGAGCGGCGGACGGGUGAGUAAUGCCUAGGAAUCUGCCUAGUGGGUGGGGGAUAACGUUCGGAAACGGACGCUAAUACCGCAUACGUCCUACGGGAGAAAGCGGGGGACCUUCGGGCCUCGCGCCAUUAGAUGAGCCUAGGUCGGAUUAGCUAGUUGGUGAGGUAAUGGCUCACCAAGGCGACGAUCCGUAACUGGUCUGAGAGGAUGAUCAGUCACACUGGAACUGAGACACGGUCCAGACUCCGUACGGGAGGCCAGCAGGUGGGAAUAGUUGGACAAGUGGACGAAAGCCUAG
rnacentral:rRNA from 1 species